rnacentral:rRNA from 1 species
ACGAACGCUGGCGGCGUGCUUAACACAUGCAAGUCGAGCGGUAAGGCCCUUUCGGGGGUACACGAGCGGCGAACGGGUGAGUAACACGUGGGUGACCUGCCCUCAGCUCUGGGAUAAGCCUGGGAAACCGGGUCUAAUACUGGAUAUGACUCCAUGACGCAUGUUGUGGGGUGGAAAGCCUUGUGCGGCUGAGGAGUGGGCCCGCGGCCUAUCAGCUUGUUGGUGGGGUNAUGGCCACCAAGGCGACGACGGGUAGCCGCCUGAGAGGGCGACCGGCCACACUGGGACUGAGACACGGCCCAGACUCCUACGGGAGGCAGCAGGUGGGGAAUCUUGCGCAAUGGGCGAAAGCCUGACGCAGCGACGCCGCGUGAGGGAUGA